AAGACAAGUCCAAAAGCGGGGAGUUGGGUAUAAUAACUAAAGUGUAAUAUUAUGCAUCAAUCUUAAAAAACAAAACAAAUCCAGGCAAGCCACUCUGGUCACACGGCUCCUCACUCCUCUUUUAAAUCAUCAACCCAGAAAAACAAAAUAGAUCCAAGCAAGCCACUUUGGUCUCACGGCUCCUCACUCAUUCUCUUUUAAAUGGCUUAGUGAGCAAUAACCGGCUGUAUCUACAGUACUAGCUCCAAGCUGAUGAAUUGAGGCUCCUGAGACAGCUUCUCUUUCACAUUUCACAUGGAGAUAUUAAAGAAGAUACUUUUGUUGAUCUUGCCGCCAUUUCAGAAGAUUUUCAUGUUCUCUUCACAAGGGAAUUGGCAUGCAUCCUUCAUCAGCUUCUAAGAAAGAAAAUUUCUACUUCUUCAUUGUGCAAUGAGCUCAUCUUCAACACUUGAUAUGCCACCAAGAAAGCAUCAAUUGGUCAAAGAACUUCAUGUAGCCAGGGAGACAUGGUCUAUUGUUAUAAUAGUUGUCAAGAAAUGGAACAUGACUCCCAAAAAACAAGCCUUCAGAGGUGUUCUACAUGAGCAUGCUUCUCAUUAGUGAGGAGGGUGAAAGGAUACAAGCAAUUGUUACACAAAAACAUAUCUUGGAUCGUUACAGAGACAAUUCUACAGAGGGAAGUAUUGUGUUCAUUGCUAAUUUUAAUGUGGUCGAGAAUAACCAAUAUAAAGCAACUAAUCACCCUUAUGAGAUCAUGUUCAAUACAAACACAUUUUUGGAUGAAGAAAAGGCAGACAUACUAUGGAACUCUUUUAGUUUUAUGCCUAUCAAUGUCAUCCUUGAGCAGAAGGUUGCACCUGAAUAUGUGAUUGAUGUUAUUGGGAUGCUGAAGUCUAUAGGAAAGCUAGAGGAGUACAAGACUACAAAUGGAUCCCAAAACAAACUCACGUUCACACUAUCUGACAAAUAUGGUGUGUGCAUGCUUCUUGGAGAUUGUGCUUCAAGUACUUAUUAUAGCUACCUUGACAAUACCAAGUUCCCUCUAGUGUUUGUUAUUCAUCUUUGCCGACUUAAUAUUGAGAAAGUGCCAUGGAAAACUCCUCACCAAACAACCGAUGUUGGGCCAACUCAAACUAUUCAAGUUUCUAUGGGGUCAAUGCUGAGAUCUACCAAGAAGAUAUUGAUUGCUGAUAUCCCAAAAAUGGAAGUGGGUAAGCCAUUCAUCAUUGAAUGCAUAAUGAAAAAAUUGGAGACCGGUCUAGGUUGGAAAUAUGAGGGCUGCAUCGGUGUGGAAGCAAGCACAGACCCAACUUUGAAGGUGUUAUGGUCUGCCCUACAUGCCCUGACAAUAUGAGUCAAAUUGAAUUCAAGCUCAAAGCAAACUAUAUUGUAUUUGAUAACGCUGGAAAGACCUCUAUUGUAUUUUUUGACAAGCAUGCUUAUGAGUUCACUCUAAAGACUGCUACUGAGAUAAAAGAGCAAUUGAAAAAUGAAAAACGUUCUUAUGCCUUUCCAGACAACUUUGAAGAAUUGUUAGGGAAAAAAUGAUGUUGAAGGUAAAGAUUACAAAAUUCAAUAUGGAACAUCCUAACUCCAGCAUUGGUGUUAUCCAAUACUCAAAAUGUCAAUACCUUAUUGAGGAAUUCAAUCAGGCUCCGAUACAGGGUGAUAGCAGUUCAGGCCAUUCUGCCACAAUCUCACAGGGAGGAUCAAACAUCAACAGAAGAUUUGGUUAGUUCAUCUUUUUCUCAAGUUGUAGCAGAAAUGUCUCAGGACCAAGGGCUAGAUGAAAUGACCAUAACUCAGAUGAUGGCACCUCCAAUGCCAAGAGGAAAGAGGAAGCAAAAUUUGAAGAAAAAUUCUGAAGUCCAGUAUAGUGAUGACCAAGCUCAACUAUCUGCUCAUGCCAUGAGCCAUAACAAGGCUGUCAAAGUUAUUAAACAAGAAAAACCUCAGGCAAUUUUAUGAACCUUAAGUGAAGGAUUGAUGUUCUUUUUAUUUGCUUUGUGUUCUUUUUUGGUUGUGCUUUGUCGGCACAAAUUAUCGUUUCUUGGAUCAUCGAAGACUAAGAGAGCUAUUAUGUUGCUUCUCCACUUUUGAAGUUUUUGGACAAGAACUUAAAAUGUGUUUUGAUACAUCAAUGGCAUUUAUUUCCAGAUUUUAUACCCA